rnacentral:rRNA from 1 species
AUUGAACGCUGGCGGCAGGCCUAACACAUGCAAGUCGAACGGCAGCACAGAAGAGCUUGCUCUUUGGGUGGCGAGUGGCGGACGGGUGAGUAAUGUCUGGGAAACUGCCCGAUGGAGGGGGAUAACUACUGGAAACGGUAGCUAAUGCCGCAUAACGUCGCGAGACCAAAGUGGGGGACCUUCGGGCCUCACACCAUCGGAUGUGCCCAGAUGGGAUUAGCUAGUAGGUGGGGUAAUGGCUCACCUAGGUGACGAUCCCUAGCUGGUCUGAGAGGAGGACCAGCCACACUGGAACUGAGACACGGUCCAGACUCCUACGGGAGGCAGCAGUGGGGAAUAUUGCACAAUGGGCGCAAGCCUGAUGCAGCCAUGCCGCGUGUAUGAAGAAGGCCUUCGGGUUGUAAAGUACUUUCAGCGGGGAGGAAGGCGGUGAGGUUAAUAACCUCGCCGAUUGACGUUACCCGCAGAAGAAGCACCGGCUAACUCCGUGCCAGCCGCCGCAGUAA